rnacentral:tRNA from 1 species
GUUUUAAUAAUUUAUUAAUAAAAUAUUGGUCUUGUAAACCAAAAAAAAAGACUAUCUUUUUAAAACU